CUGCCCAGUAUUUAUGCAGGUUUCCCACCUGGUGGACACUCCCCUAGGGGACCAGUUGGGAGACUGUGACAAGGGACAGACAUGUAUCAAUGACAGACAUACAAGGGGUAAAACAUUCCCAGGAUACACUGCGUUCCCGCCUCUCUGUCCUGGGGACAAUUGGGAAGUAAUUCAAUUAUCUCCCAGGACAGAGGCAAAUUGCCAUUACCCACAAGCUGACAACAGG